GUAAACACGAUGAAAAGGACAAGUAGGUAAAGAAUUUGUUAAAGAGAGGAAAACAAAUGCUGUGAGUUUUCUAACAAUGCAUUUAUUGAAUUCACCUUGGAGUGCGACUAAUCAUCGCCGUAUUCACAACGUUACUGUGAUCAAAGUGCAUAACAGAUGAAUGUUAUGAAUUAGGAUGGUACCGCGAUUAUAAUCGUUCCUAUA
rnacentral:ncRNA from 1 species